rnacentral:rRNA from 1 species
UACGGAGGAUGCGAGCGUUAUCCGGAUUUAUUGGGUUUAAAGGGUGCGUAGGCGGGAUGCCAAGUCAGCGGUAAAAAUGCGGUGCUCAACGCCAUCGAGCCGUUGAAACUGGCGUUCUUGAGUGGGCGAGAAGUAUGCGGAAUGCGUGGUGUAGCGGUGAAAUGCAUAGAUAUCACGCAGAACUCCGAUUGCGAAGGCAGCAUACCGGCGCCCUAAUGACGCUGAGGCACGAAAGCGUGGGUAUCGAACAGG